AGGGCCGUGCAAAAGAUGUAGUCUCUGGUGUGAACCAAGGUGAGAAAGGCCUCUUGGCAAAGUUAAUUGGCUCUCUCCCUUGGUUCAUGCGUGUGUGUGUCCUCCUGAGUAGUUUUCUUGUGUUCUUUAGAGAAGAGAGAGACCACGAGAGGCGGUUUGGAGGAAGAAUAAGAAGGUGCAGAGGAGCAGCUUUGUGAGAGGUAGAAGAAGAAGCGGCGCUGUGAGGGGCGGCGUCAACAAGUGUGCGGUGGCCAGUGAUGCAUGGCACAGCCCGUGGCACGGGUUGAUAAGGUUAGCAAUCUCCUACAACUACUGCUGGUAUAGGUAAGUGAGGUUGAUCUCGGCGUAGUAGCUGCUCCAAGCACCGAUGAACAUUGUUGUCUCGUCCUCGGUCCACCAGCCCUCGCAAUAAGGCAUGUUGGCAUUGGUCCACGACAACCUACCACCUACCCUAAGCUCUUCCUCCUGUCGCUGCCACCCCCGUUGCCAUCUCUCUCAUCCACAUCACCUAUGCUCAUAUCUCUGACAAGGUUCCUUCUUGUAAAUUAUAGGUCUACUAACAAAGUAACAAUAGUGCUUCCAAUUCUAAAAUCCCUAACAAAAUGCGUUGAACUCCUUGUAAUGCAGAAAAAUGGAAGAAACACUAUCUUUGAAGUCUAAUGGAGGAAACACUACUAACACAAAGGAUAUAUUCCACUUCUAGAAAAUAAGAUAAUGAGAAAUUAGUGUUUCUCAUUAGUCAUAUGAAAGAAAAUACAUUAAAGCUCAAGGUACAAAAACACUAGUAACACAUAUAGCGCGGUAGUCACAUACUACUAUUUUGGUAGAUUCUAUCCGACAUGAAACCUAGGGGAAACCAUAAGAACAAGAAGUAAAGACUAAAGGGAAAAUCUAAUCCGCGGCGUGUGCACAGACGUCGUCCCGUGCAGCGGCUCAUAUGACACUCUAUUCCUUCCAGCUUCUGCACAUACCGCACACAUAUAUGGAUAGCUGAUGUAGUUUGCUACAGUAGUAGAUAGUGACAACGGUUACUCUAGUGAGCACUGUAGCUGGCUUCAUCUUGCUACCAUGCAUGCGCAUUUACACAUGGUGCCCGGACUGCUACAGAAAGGAGCAGUGGUAGAUGCUGCCAGGAGGGGUGCAGGUACCAGGGCCAACUUCUGUCGUGCUUUUCAUUAGGACUAUUCAUUAUUUCAGUUUGCUACAGCCUACAACACAUAAUCACGUGAUCUAUUGUGCGUAAUUAAGGUUUUUUAAAACAACAUGCCUUUAGAUAUAAUCUAAGUGGCAAGCUUUGUAAACUAAUGCGAGAACUAGUUUUAUAACGACUUACAAACUUAUAUAAGACAACUGAGUAUAAUUAAACUGAUAAACAUAACAAACACGUGGGGUUUAGAGUAUUCGACAAGACUUUUAUGAGACAACACGACAACUGGAUAUAAUUCAAAUUGAUAAAUCCAUCAAAACACCGCAAUAACUAGUUUUUUACAACAACUUACCAGCAUUAUAAGACAAUAUGACAACUAGGUAGAAUUAAAAUAACAAGUACAACAAAUCAUUUCUGGCAAGUAGACUUUAUAAAGCAUUGACAAGCUUUAUGAGACAAUAUGACAACUAGUUAGUAUUAAAAUGGCAAUUAGAACAAUGCGUUUGCGACAAGUGGAUUUUAUAAGCAAUGAAAAGCUUUAUGAGACAACAUGGCAACUGAGUAGCAUUAAAAUGACAAGCACAUCAAAAACAUUGUGGCAAUUGGAUUUAUAAGCAUCGACAAGCUUUAUAAGACUACCUCGCAACUAGGUAGCAUUAAAAAUGACAAGCACAUUUUUUUGUGGCAACUGGAUUUAAAAGAACCAACAAGAUUUGUAUGAAACAACAUUGAAAUACGGUAAUUAAGUCAUUUCUCUCUGUCAAGUAAGUGGUUAAUAAUAUGGAAAGUGGGUUAAACAAUGUGGCAAAUACGGACGUAAAAAAAGUUGUCGAAACAUGUCGAUAUAGGAUCUAGUUUUGAAGAACUCGCCGCGAGAAAAUCAACGGUGAAAGCGGAUCAUCGAUCGAAUUAACGAUUUUGUAGAUAAUUUUUUUUAAAAUUUCAAACAUUAAAGAAAAUCUUAAUGACAUGUUACAAUCAUGGAGUAAGGAAGAAUUAACAAUACACAUGGCAAGUACAUACAUGUGCAUGCAGUCUGCCGCCACCUCUUUUUUUUUGGCAAGUGUGCAUGCGUGCAAUAGUGGAUAAAGUAGCGGCCGCAUGGGAGUUCCUAGGUACAGCGCCGCUACCUAGCUGAGUCCAAGACUAAAAUCAUGUAGAUAAGGCAAAAAUCUAUCAUCAAUGUAUGAGACUAAAAUGAGAAGACAACAAAUUGGCCCAAUAGUAUCUUGCUAAGGCAUAAAACUCACAAAUAUAUUCGUUGAUACAUAUCUUAUUUGUGGACACCAUAGUGAAAUAGACACAAAGUCCUAUUUAUGAAUGUCACCAUGCAAUAGGGUGCCAAAACUAUCAAAAUAAGUCUUUCAACAUUCGAGUGCUAAUAAACUAGAUGAUACAUUGCGCCAAUUGGUGCACAGACCAAUUGUUGGUCUGAAGUUCAGCGGAUUAUUCGAAAGAUCCUCCCCCUUAUAUUGUAUACAAAUGAUUAUGUUUGUAUUGCAUUUCUAUUUGGCUUGACAAUGAUCGUUGCCCAUACUUUUCUUAUAGUGUCAUGCUAGAUAGAGAACUACAACGAACAGUUGAGCCAAUUGGCGUAUAGACCAACUUCAACCAGCAAAUUAAGUGAACUAUUUGAAGGAUUUUUUUUUGAACAGUUUGCAAAUGAUUAUGUUCAUGUCGUAGUUCUAUUUUCCUAAAAAUCAUUGUUAUAAACACAAUGUGAAUCUUUGGCCUUUUUCCUAGUGUUCUGUUGUGCGUGUGCAUAAACAAUGUUUUUUCACGAAUCGUGUACCAAAUUUCUGUAUCUUUUUUCAUCCUUCCCAUAUAAAAAUAAUAUUGUAAUCCUAUGAGGAGUGAGACAACUGGUACCCUUGAACAAAUCUUGACUCUUCUUUAAGAGAGUGGCAUUGCGUUGUUUUUCUUCAAUGAAAUGGACACCCAACAACUUCUUACUCCUUGUCAUACUCACAUGGGCAACUAGAGGACUGAGUACUACAAAUGUGAAGCUACAAGAAGGAUCAACCAUAAGGUAGAUAUUUUCGGGUUUCUUAGCUAACUGUGGGUUAGUGGGAUAUAUGAGGAGAGGAACUCCCCUUAUAUAGAAGAAAAGUGUUGAACCAUAAAUGUCGAGUUCACCCUUAUCCAUUUGUAUGACAUAAGUUUGAUCUAAACAUACAUCUAUUGUCAGUUGUGUUGACUAAAAUACAUAAGUGUUUAAUAUAGCACCAAAAUAUGUAGUCAACAAACUUAAUGAUUUGUGGAGGCAAUUAUUUUUGGUUAAAUAUGCCAUAUGUGAGUACAUCCUAAUUUAAACCAUCAUUUGCCUCUCUUCCAACGAUGUUUUAAUGUGUUCGAGGGCACGACCGUUAACUCCAUUGCCUUACUGCUACUACCAUCUCCUUUUUUGUGAAGCAGUAUAUUCUUCCAAAACCUAUGUAGUUGAUGAGUCCAAAAAAGCAUCAUGUUUUACUUCUAGUUUUGUGUCCUAUUUGUAGGAUUCCUUGGAAUUUUACCAAGAUCGUCAACAUGAAGGAGUUCUUGAGGCAAAGGAUAGAAAUGCUAGAAUAAGUCUUUGAACAUGUGAACUCUAAUAAACUAGACAUACCAUAGUCUAAAAUGUACAAUAUAGGGGGGGGAGACAUGAUGACUAUGGGCAAAAAAAAGUUAUAUUUACUACGCUAUCUAAUGAGUCAAUAUCUCAAAACAAAAAUGUGAAACACGCUUCUACAACAUAAGUUCACAACAUGCUUAGCUUGUUUAAAUUCUGCUAAACAUAAUUAUUUUUUAAUACAACCAAGAUGAAAUCACGUAAACUUGUGCAAACCCAUAUCAAAAAUAAAAUACACAUUAGUACUUACCAAAGAACUGAAAGUUCCCUUAUUCUACAACAAUAUAAGAAAAGUAAUUAUUCAAAACUAGACACAUAAAGUGUGGACCUUCUCACUAUUAGAGACAACCACGAGGGUAUAUCAAAUGUCAUCAUGUAUGGGGUUGAAAUUUAAAAUUAUGCUUCUACAUACUUUAAGCAUUCAUAUUCCUAAAUGUAUUGAAAAACAUACUAAAUGCCACAUAAUGUUUAUGGUAAUCACAACAACUCUCAGAUUACAACCUUUGUAGUUGCCACCGUUGAAAUUAAUGAACAAUAACCUACAACAAUGUUCAACUAAAUUGAAAUGGACAAAUAAACUAUACCUAGAGCCUUCCUAAACAUCUAAGGUAUGCAUGGUUGGAACGAGAAGGCAUCAUAGUGACAGAGGAAAGCAAGUCCACUUCGUCGGUGCCAUUGGUUGUAGACAUACCCUAUUUUCUUCUUCUUGUGCUUCAAUCUUGCGAGGAUCUACAAAGUUCUCCAUGGGCUUCCCCUCCAUCUUAAGUGAAUGCUUCUAUUUUGCACUCUCCAUGUGUUCAAACAUAUGACAAAAAGCCUUGACCACCCUAGCGAGAUCACUGACACCACCAUUAUCACAUCUACGAGUUUGGCCGCAACGAUGACAUAUAUUGUUGCCAAGAGUGAUUAAAUCAAGCGAUGUGGUAACCAGUGCCAGUAUUGCUAUUUUUGUUGUCACUAGGGUCACCACAUUCAUACUAAUGGGAAAAAGCAGUAAAGGUAGCGGUGGUCAGCUGAAAAAAUGCGGCACUCGAGAGCAUUAUCCCACGACUAUAGUUUGGCAGCUAAAAGUCCAUGGUAAGAGGCAGGGAAGUCAAGGAUAAGGGUGACAAGUGAUUCUAGGAGGCGAAAGGGUAGAGGUCCAGGGCAAAGUGAUGGGCUGCUAAAUAAUGAGGAGGCCCGUUCUUCUUGGAGGCGGAGAGGGUGGGACUUACAAAGCAGUUGAGCUCGUCAUAGAACCUCAUGGGCGCGCUCGGCCUUGUACUUCUUGUCCAGGGUGUUGAUGCACAUGUUUCACAUAAUGUUUGUGUGAGGGGGGAUGCAACGCAUAGUAGACAUGCGGCCCAAUUUACGGUACUCGUGACCUCUUCCCACUGCUUCUGGUGCAAGUUGUCGCAGUUGAGAUCAUUGUAGCAGCCGUCACAAGCGUCAAUGAGCGUCGUCAUCUUGCCGAUCCUCUAGUAGUCCUCACGACAGGACAGGAUGGGGCUGGGUGGUGGCAACCAGCCCCCUCCUUCUUCCGCACCCAUAUCCGCCGCUAUCUCUCUCUACUCCCGUGUCCUCCCAUGACAAUUAUGCCAAGCUUCCUUCUUAUAAAUCAUGGUUCUACUAACGAUAUUGGUUACCAUACCAAACUGUCGGGCAGGCAGAUUCACAUCUCUUACAACCCACACAAUCUUCGGUUCUCAGCGCGUUUCUAUGGUUCUCUUUUAAACGGUGAGGCCCUCUCUAUACACCGGAGUCCCAACAAAAAAUAUGUUCAACUUAUUAUGAAGUAAACGAAAAGUAAGAAACACUAUUUUUUAGUGUAAUGGAGGAAACACUAUUAAGUUAAGGAUAAAUCCACCCGAAAAAGAUAAAGAUACAUUGUUUUUUCUCAUUAAUGAUUAGAAAACGAAGACAUUAAAGCAGAAGAUACAUAACACUUGUAAUGCAUACAAUAACAUAAUAGUCGCGUCAAAGUGGUUCGGUAGAUUUGAACCCACAACAAUCCUAACACCACCAAACAUAACGAAUGAAGUAAAACCUGAAAUCUAUAGCUCACUUUCCAUUGAUUUUGUGAAGUGCAACUGAAACUGAUUUACCUAUGGGGAACAUGGUUAACUUAUUUGAUAUUAAAUGCAAUAAAGCUUUAUGAACUAAGCAAUUAGUUAACCUUAAACUUGACUUAGAUAGUGGUGUGAUUAGGACACACAACACUCUCACAAUUUUCCCAAAUCAUGUUCACCAUUUUCGCGGCUGUCUCCUUGCAAUUCUGUUGGCUUCUUCAAGAAACAAGUGGUGACGACAAAAUCCAACUUAAUAUGUUGGUUUCGUGGAUGGUUGUGAUCCAAGAAAAACCCUUUUGAGGAAAUCUAAAAUCUAUGUCUAAUUUUUCUCGUGGAGUUUAUGUAAAAUGGAUUUAUGUUUCAAGAGUAUAUUUAUGGAUAUAUAUUUCAAGAGAAUAGUUGUUAGUCUCUACUUUUCAACUAAUAUAGAGGUACAUACAACAUACAAACCUCCGCUAACAAAAUGGACAUUUAUUUUUAUAUCAAAGGCAUACCUAUUCUAGUUAUUCAUUACUUAUGUGUAAACGUAACAGGUUUAUCCAUCGGCCUAUUAGCCGGUGCAACCCCUUUAAAAUACUCUCACUUAACUCAAAAUAAUUAAUAGAUUUCUAAAAGCACCAUCAUGCAAUAGGGCCAACACUAUUAAAAAUAUCUUUCUACAUCCGAGUUCUAACAAAGUAGAUGACCCAUUGCGCCAAUUGGUGGAGAGACCAACUACAAGCCCGAAGUUAAGCAAACUAUUUGAAGGAUAUUUUCUUGUACUAUGUGCAAAUAAUUAUCUGUGUAUUGCAUUUAUUUUUGCCUUCAUAAUGAUCAUUUCUCAUACUUUUCUUAUAGUGACAUGCCAGACAGAGAAUCCACAACGAUCCAUUAAGCCAAUUGGCACAUAGACCAAUUGCAACCAACAAUUUAUGUGAACUAUUUGAAUGAUUUUUUCCUUGAUUGUUUGCAAAUGAUUAUGUUUAUGUUGCAGUUCUAUCUGCCUAAAAAAUCAUUGAUAGAAACACAAUGUGAAUGGUUUGAUUCUUUUGCUUGUGUUCUCUUAUGCGGGCAUCAAAAAUGGGUUUCAGCAAUGGUGUCCCAAAUUUAUGCAUAUUUCUUUCAUACUUCCAUAGGAAAAAAAUCCGUACGCCCGUGAGGGUGGAGAAACAAACACCCAACCACUUCUCGCUCCAUGUCAUACUCACAUGGACAACAGGACGAUUUACUACUACAAAUGGGAAACUACAAGAAGGAUCGACUAUCAGGUAGAUAUUUGCUGGUAUUAUUGGGUAACUGUGGGUUAGUGGGAUAUAUGAGGAGAAGAAGUGCCCUUAUAUGGAACACAAGCGUUGAACCAUAAAUGUCUAGUUCACCCCUUAUCCAGUUGUUUGCAUUUAGUUUUAUCUAAACAUACAUAUGUUGUCAAUUGUCUCAAUUAAGAACGCAAGUAUUGAAUAUAGCACAAAGGCAUGUAGUCAACAAACUUGAUCAUUUAUGAGUACAUCCUAAUUUAAUACUAUUACUUGUCUCUCUUCCAACGAUGUUGCAAUGCAUUCGAGGGCACCACCAUCAACUCCAUCACCUUUACUGCUACCACCAUAUCCUUUUUUGAAGUGGUAUAUUAAUCCUAAACCUAUGUAGUUGAUGAUUCCAAAAAUGCAUNACCUACAAUAGUGUUGAUCUAAACUGAAAUGGAGAAAUCAAUUUUACCAAGAGCCUUCCUAAGAACCUGAGGUAUGCAUGAUUCGAACGAAAGUCAUCACAUCGAGUGAGGAAACUAACUCCAGUCCGUCGGUGCCAUUGGUUGCACACCCUUUGCUCUUCUUCUUGUGCUUCACUCUUGAGAGCUUGACAUGUGCGUCGAUGUGGUUCUUCAUGGUCUUCCCCUCCAGCUACUUCAUGAACUCAAUUUUAUUGUAGUCCAUCUCGAGUGAAUGCUUCUAUUUGGCACCCUCCACACAUUCAUACAUGUGAGAAAAAGCCUCGAUCGCCCUAGCAAGAUCGCUUACCAAUGUGAGUUUGGCCGCAUGAGGGGCAUUUAUUGUUGCCACCCGAGAGUGAUUAAGUGGAGCGAUGUAGUAACUGGUGUGAGUAUUUCUAUAGUUAUUGUAACUAAGAACACAUGAGUCAUUCGAAUAGGAAAUUGUUGCAAAGGCAGUGGCGGCCUGCUUGAAAUAUGCGGCGGUCGAGAGGAGUGUCCCGUGUCUAUAGUUUAGCAUUGCCAGGGCCAUGGGAAGAAGUGGGGAAGGCCAAUAUGAGGGUGACAAGUGCUUCUAGGCGGCACAAGGGUGGAGGCCGAGAGAGAAGUGAUGGGCCAACGACUAAUGAUGAGUUGUGUUACUUCUAGGCGAAGAGGGUGGGACUUAUCUUAGAGUUGAGCUCGUCAUAGGAGAUCCAUGUAGAAGACCCAUCAUGGGCGCUCUCGGUCUUGUACUUCUUCUUGAGGUUCUCGGUGCGGAUGUUUCACAUAAUGUAAAUGUGAGGGGGUGGUGCACAUGCUAGAUAUGCGGCCCAAGCUAACAGUACUGGCAACCGCUUGCCCCUACUUUUGGUCCAGGUUGCCACAGUUGAGCUCAUCGUAACAGCUUCCCCAAGCGUCAAUGAAUGUCUCUGUAUUGCCCUUGCUCGAGCAGAACUCAUGGUAGCGCAUGUUAGGGCUGGGUGGCGGCAACUAUCUCCCCCCGACCCCCGACACCCAUAUCCGUCGCUAUCUCUCUCAGCUCUCGUACCCCUCCUGUCAAAAUUAUGCCAAACUUCCUUCUUGUAAGUCAUGGUUCCGCUGACAAUACCGAUUCCCAUUCCACGGGCCCAACCAAAAAUCUG
rnacentral:lncRNA from 1 species